UGGGCGCAAGCCUGAUCCAGCCAUGCCGCGUGCAGGAUGACGGUCCUAUGGAUUGUAAACUGCUUUUGUACAGGAAGAAACACUCCCUCGUGAGGGAGCUUGACGGUACUGUAAGAAUAAGGAUCGGCUAACUCCGUGCCAGCAGCCGCGGUAAUACGGAGGAUCCAAGCGUUAUCCGGAAUCAUUGGGUUUAAAGGGUCCGUAGGCGGUUUAAUAAGUCAGUGGUGAAAGCCCAUCGCUCAACGGUGGAACGGCCAUUGAUACUGUUAAACUUGAAUUAUUAGGAAGUAACUAGAAUAUGUAGUGUAGCGGUGAAAUGCUUAGAGAUUACAUGGAAUACCAAUUGCGAAGGCAGGUUACUACUAAUGGAUUGACGCUGAUGGACGAAAGCGUGGGUAGCGAACAGGAUUAGAUACCCUGGUAGUCCACGCCGUAAACGAUGGAUACUAGCUGUUGGGAGCAAUCUCAGUGGCUAAGCGAAAGUGAUAAGUAUCCCACCUGG
rnacentral:rRNA from 1 species